AGAAUAAUUUAUUUUCACAUUUUCUUGUAGCAUUAUUGGCACAUGAAAAGGAUAUUUCUGGAUUCAUAUAAUACUAAGAUUGUAAUGUAGAACAAAGAGAAUUUAGUUUUUGUAAACUAAUUUCAACUAACAAAACUGGUCACACAGGUCAUAUCAAGAAGACAAAAAUAUUUACUCUGUCCUCUUUCAUAAUUCAUGCCAUAUUAUUGAAUGGGGAUAAUGUGUAACAGGCUCAGAAGCAGUUUGAGACUUUGAAUUAUGCAAGUGGGUCAGGGGAGAGGAAUGUUAAUAAACAGGACUUGUGCCUUUUUUUAAGUGUGUGGAGGGAGAGAAACCUUGAGGAGGACUCCGAGGCUUCUAAUGAUCACGAGAUCAUUAGAUGAUGAGAGUGAAUGAUUCUGAUCAUGACAGUGAAUCAUCCGGGGGCCUUUUGCAGAGACAGGAUAUUCUGGAGCAGCAGAGAGUGGGGAAGGUGGGAAUGAGCCUGGCUUUCCUCCUGCUGGGUGUGAGGUGCCUGUGGGUUGUCCAGGGAGGGGAGCUGUGAGGUGGUUGGGC
rnacentral:lncRNA from 1 species